AUUGAACGCUGGCGGCAGGCCUAACACAUGCAAGUCGAGCGGAUGAAGGGAGCUUGCUCCUGGAUUCAGCGGCGGACGGGUGAGUAAUGCCUAGGAAUCUGCCUGGUAGUGGGGGAUAACGUCCGGAAACGGGCGCUAAUACCGCAUACGUCCUGAGGGAGAAAGUGGGGGAUCUUCGGACCUCACGCUAUCAGAUGAGCCUAGGUCGGAUUAGCUAGUUGGUGGGGUAAAGGCCUACCAAGGCGACGAUCCGUAACUGGUCUGAGAGGAUGAUCAGUCACACUGGAACUGAGACACGGUCCAGACUCCUACGGGAGGCAGCAGUGGGGAAUAUUGGACAAUGGGCGAAAGCCUGAUCCAGCCAUGCCGCGUGUGUGAUGAAGGUCUUCGGAUUGUAAAGCACUUUAAGUUGGGAGGAAGGGCAGUAAGUUAAUACCUUGCUGUUUUGACGUUACCAACAGAAUAAGCACCAGCUAACUUCGUG
rnacentral:rRNA from 1 species